CAGUAGCCGCGGUAAAACGGAGGGUGCAAGCGUUAAUCGGAAUUACUGGGCGUAAAGCGCACGCAGGCGGUCUGACAAGUCAGAUGUGAAAUCCCCGGGCUUAACCUGGGAACUGCAUUUGAAACUGUCAGGCUGGAGUCUUGUAGAGGGGGGUGGAAUUCCAGGUGUAGCGGUGAAAUGCGUAGAGAUCUGGAGGAAUACCGGUGGCGAAGGCGGCCCCCUGGACAAAGACUGACGCUCAGGUGCGAAAGCGUGGGGAGCAAACAGGAUUAGAUACCUUAGUAGUCCCUGUCUCUUAUAA
rnacentral:rRNA from 1 species